CGGGUAGACCAGGUUAGGUUGGACUUGGCGGAGCAAGCCGAGGAUCUGCCAGCUUGAGAGCGUGUUGUGGUUCCCCAUCUCAACGGAAUGCACUUGGCUUCCACGCUCAUUCCCCAGCACUGCAUGGUGAUCCAGCAGCGCCAGGAUCAAGCCCCAGUCACAGAGGUAGAUGUGACACCACCAGCAGAAACAACUCACCUUCUCAAAGCAGCUCCAGGACAUUUCAGCUUGGGGUCACCUGCAUCCCAACCCUGGAUGUGUCAUUUCUCCAUUCCAUAAUUCUGAAGUUGCCCAUGCUCUCCUUUAGACCAAGACUCUCUUUUUGGCAUUCUCUAUUAUUUCAUCUAUAAAUGGAACUAUUCCAUUCACUCUGUCUUCUCUUAAAAUUAUUUUCAGCCACAUAAAGACGUGCAGCUGAAUCCAGGUGAUUGAGACUGGCUUCUUUCCAGUCGUGAGCUCUCCGGGCACACACCCCGACUAACCACAAAUGUCUAUUCAGCCACUGCCACUCUCAAUACAACUCAUUGUGCAGGGGCCAGAAAUGUGAUUGAGCAGCACAGCACAUGCCUUGUGUGUGGAGGACCUGGAUUCAAUCCCGCACUGCAAAUAAACAAGUGAAAAUAAAUAAAAGUUAUGCAGCCCAGUACAGCUUGGAUUCAAUUUAUGCCAUUACUUUCUUUCCCAGUACACUGAUCUCCUCCACAUACCUCUUUUGGAGUUGCUUUCUCACAUAAAUAUAGGAUUCUGUUCAAAAGUAACAGUACACAACAGCAAUUCCUGGCCUUGGUGAAUAGUCUGGAGGGUUCAUGAAACUGGAUUCUCAGACAGGAUACACAGUCAAAGAAAAUCAACAGAGACGAUUACAAAUCAAAAAAUCUCCUUACUAGUGAGAAAGUGAAGCUGGACAUGACACUCCACCAAAUGAGAGCAUCCGUGAUGGUGAUUUCAUGAAAUGUUACCAAAAGCUUUGGAUGAACCACAGCCUGUCUUUACAGUCCAGAACAAGUUUUCAGUCACUGCUGUGGGCUCAAUCAGAAGUGCUGCUCGUUUCUUUUCUGCUUGCCCAGUAAGCCAAGAGGCUUAAUCAAAGAGUAAUCAAGAAAACACGCGGGGUGGAGCUAUACUGGGAUUCUUGGUGGUGGAAUAUGAGCACUGGUGAAGGGAUGGGUAUUCGAGCAUUGUAUAACUGAGAUUUAAACCUGAAAACUUUGUAACUUUCC